UGCUUGUGUAUACGUGAAAGUGAGAAGGCUAAAAUACUCUGUAAGGUGGAUGAGACAGAUAUGGCAGAGCACCUUAGAAUAAGAUUGAAGAAAGAAGAGGCACAUCUGUAUACAAACAUAAAGGUUGCUUGUGAUGGGGAUCUUCAUAAACAGAUUGGGAAACAUAUAUAUUUUGAUCUAGUGGAUCUUGAUAAAGUUCGUAUGCAAAAUCAGCCCUCUUUUGCUCUAU